rnacentral:rRNA from 1 species
UUGAACGCUGGCGGCAUGCCUUACACAUGCAAGUCGAACGGUAACAGGUCUUCGGAUGCUGACGAGUGGCGAACGGGUGAGUAAUACAUCGGAACGUGCCCGAUCGUGGGGGAUAACGCAGCGAAAGCUGUGCUAAUACCGCAUACGAUCUACGGAUGAAAGCGGGGGAUCGCAAGACCUCGCGCGGACGGAGCGGCCGAUGGCAGAUUAGGUAGUUGGUGGGAUAAAAGCUUACCAAGCCGACGAUCUGUAGCUGGUCUGAGAGGACGACCAGCCACACUGGGACUGAGACACGGCCCAGACUCCUACGGGAGGCAGCAGUGGGGAAUUUUGGACAAUGGGCGAAAGCCUGAUCCAGCCAUGCCGCGUGCAGGAUGAAGGCCUUCGGGUUGUAAACUGCUUUUGUAUGUCAAGAAAAUGACGGUAGCAUAUGAAUAAGCACCGGCUAACUCCGU